rnacentral:rRNA from 1 species
GAUGAACGCUGGCGGCGUGCUUAACACAUGCAAGUCGAACGAUGAAGCUCAGCUUGCUGGGUGGAUUAGUGGCGAACGGGUGAGUAACACGUGAGUAACCUGCCCUUAACUCUGGGAUAAGCCUGGGAAACUAGGUCUAAUACCGGAUAGGAGCGCCUACCGCAUGGUGGGUGUUGGAAAGAUUUAUCGGUUUUGGAUGGACUCGCGGCCUAUCAGCUUGCUGGUGAGGUAAUGGCUCACCAAGGCGACGACGGGUAGCCGGCCUGAGAGGGUGACCGGCCACACUGGGACUGAGACACGGCCCAGACUCCUACGGGAGGCAGCAGUGGGGAAUAUUGCACAAUGGGCGAAAGCCUGAUGCAGCGACGCCGCGUGAGGGAUGACGGCCUUCGGGUUGUAAACCUCUUUCAGUAGGGAAGAAGCGAAAGUGACGGUACCUGCAGAAGAAGCACCGGCUAACUACGUG